CUGGGUAGAGUGUUUUGGGUGCACAGCUUAAAUCAAUCAUUUGUCCACAUACAGUCUAUGGCCAUUCCAUUUCUGAGGUCUAGUUAGUCGUGGUCUCAUGGGGCAAAUAUCUAGGCAAGGCAAUUUUUCCAUGGUUUAAUGUCUUCAUCACCAACAAUCAACUAGCUGGUUAAUCUCGAGAUGUAAUUAAAGAAUGCAUGGUUUAGACAUAAUAUAAGAA
rnacentral:lncRNA from 1 species